rnacentral:misc_RNA from 1 species
AAGUCGUAACAAGGUUUCCGUAGGUGAACCUGCGGAAGGAUCAUUAACACGUUAUACACGUAUCUACAUCUCCGCGAACUUAUUUUUAUAAAAAGUUGGUUGGCCAGCGUAGCAAUGGGGGUAGAUGCUUUACUAUGUCAACAAGACUCCUGGUCAUCCGGUGUUCUUGCUUGUUCUACCCGCCUAUCUGAAUUCCCCCAAUGGUACUCGUAGUCCAUUGGGCGCUGUUUUCGGGUAUUCUGGCUCAUAUGACUUGAAUCAUAGUAGUAUUUCUUAUCAAAACCUUUUUUAUUAUGCUGUAAUUUUGUGAUGGUUGUGGUGGGGGGACUUAAAACCCCCCCCUGUCACCUCUCACGUUAAUAAAACACUAUACAACUCUUAGCAACGGAUAUCUCGGUUCUCC